AGACCCGAAACCCGGUGAUCUAGCCAUGGGCAGGUUGAAGGUUGGGUAACACUAACUGGAGGACCGAACCGACUAAUGUUGAAAAAUUAGCGGAUGACCUGUGGCUGGGGGUGAAAGGCCAAUCAAACCGGGAGAUAGCUGGUUCUCCCCGAAAGCUAUUUAGGUAGCGCCUCGUGAACUCAUCUCCGGGGGUAGAGCACUGUUUCGGCUAGGGGGCCAUCCCGGCUUACCAACCCGAUGCAAACUGCGAAUACCGGAGAAUGUUAUCACGGGAGACACACGGCGGGUGCUAACGUCCGUCGUGAAGAGGGAAACAACCCAGACCGCCAGCUAAGGUCCCAAAGUCAUGGUUAAGUGGGAAACGAUGUGGGAAGGCCCAGACAGCCAGGAUGUUGGCUUAGAAGCAGCCAUCAUUUAAAGAAAGCGUAAUAGCUCACUGGUCGAGUCGGCCUGCGCGGAAGAUGUAACGGGGCUAAACCAUGCACCGAAGCUGCGGCAGCGACACUUUAGUGUUGUUGGGUAGGGGAGCGUUCUGUAAGCCGUUGAAGGUGUCCUGUGAGGGGUGCUGGAGGUAUCAGAAGUGCGAAUGCUGACAUAAGUAACGAUAAAGCGGGUGAAAAGCCCGCUCGCCGGAAGACCAAGGGUUCCUGUCCAACGUUAAUCGGGGCAGGGUGAGUCGACCCCUAAGGCGAGGCCGAAAGGCGUAGUCGAUGGGAAACGGGUUAAUAUUCCCGUACUUGGUGUUACUGCGAAGGGGGGACGGAGAAGGCUAUGUUGGCCGGGCGACGGUAGUCCCGGUUUAAGCGUGUAGGCUGGUUUUCCAGGCAAAUCCGGAAAAUCAAG
rnacentral:rRNA from 3 species